UGGGUGUUGUGGGUUCCUGGGUGCCCUGCUUACCUCCCUCCCCUCGAAACCAGAGAUGCCACCUCCACCACCACCACACCACUCAUGGGACUUAUCUUUGCUGUGUGUCCUCCUCCAAUAGAGCCAUCAUUUAAAGUCAUUUCCGACUCUUCGUGACUUCAUGGACCAGCCCACGCCAGAGCUUUCUGUCGGCUGUCGCCACCCCCAGCUCCCCCAAGGUCAAGUCUGUCACCUCCAGAAUAUCAUCCAUCCAUCUUGCCCUUGGUCAGCCCCUCUUCCUUUUGCCUUCCACUUUCCCAAGCAUCAGCCUCUUCUCCAGGUAUCUGGUAAGGUAUCUAGAACACAGCCUUCAAUGAGUUUCAGUUGGUACAGCUCAAGGAUGUUGACAAGGUGUUGGACAGGUGAGGCUGUUGCUGUGCUAAAUCAGUGCCUGGCUGCAACAAUGGACUGGAUGAAGGCCAAUAAACUGAAAUUGAAUCCAGAUAAAACUGAUAUCCUGUUAAUGGGUGGCUUUUUGAUUGGAUGGAGGGUUCUCGACUUGUUCUGGAUGGGGUUGCACUCUCUCUGAAGUAGCAGCUUUAUAGCUUGGGUUUGAACCUGAGGCCAUUUUGGUCAUGACUAGUAACUAUUGAGAGGCUUAUCCUCAAGUAAAUGUAUCUAAUCACCUUUUCAGCCAUCUACAUUGGUGGCCUUCACCACAACUAAUGAGAACUAUUCCCAUAGUACCAUGGGAAUAGUUUGUGAACCGCCCAGAGAGCUCCGGCUAUUGGGCAGUAUAGAAAUGUAAUAAAUAAAUAAAUAAAUAAAUAAAGUGAAGAAGUCCUUUUUAUCUGUUCCAAAUCUUCAAACACUCAGCUUCAUUGGAUGAUCCCAGCUUUCAAUAUUAUGAGAGAGGGAGAAG